rnacentral:misc_RNA from 1 species
UAUUCCUUCGGGAGUCCUUUUUACAAAGGACCCGAGUUCGGAGUCCUCGGUCCUCUGGAUCGUGUUCUCUUAGAUGCGUCGCACCGAUCGCCUGAUGGGUCUCUAAUGCCUAAGCGUGGAGUUCCGUCAGAGUCUGAGACGUGCUUGACCGGGUGUUGAGCUCGCGUCACCAAGUCUGCCUCACAAGCAGUACUACAACGC